AUAAUGAGGCUUUGAAAGCCCAAGAAGAGGAACUUGGGAUCAGCAGCUUCUGUGGGACAUUCUCUGAGAUUGGGGGACUGCUUGUACUAAGCUUUAUAGUGGACCUUCACGUUCUGAGUUUCUGAAAUGUUGGUGAUGUCUGAGAAAGGGAAGAUAAAUCAUGCUGCCACUGCUCUCUGCACACCCACCUCUGCAAAGUAUCUACACUUCUAUGCUGACAGAGGCAAGCAGUCUGAGAAAUGAAUAGCAGCCCAGGAAAAUCAAGGAGUUUUAUCUUUAACAACAAAAGAGGAAGAUUUUGACCUGAAUCUUCAGCAAAUUCCUAUUUCCAUGGUGCCCAGUUUAAAGGAGUGUGAUACAAUCCAUUUCAAGCAAGGAAUAAGGAAGAUUCAAUUGCAAACAUAAAUAUACCCUAAACUGGUAGUCAUACUGAGAGUGCAGAGUAUGCUAUACCUCUACGGAUAGGAAAAUACAAUGGUCAGAAUUUGUGUCAUCUCAUCUGCAUAACAUUGCCACAUGUUGGAACACUUCGAUAUACUCCACAUGGGGUCAAACCUCCCUACAUGCCUCUACAAUGUGCACGUGGGCAGAUGUGUUGGCUGCCACUCGGAGGGCAAAUUUAGGCUGUAUGAACAUGCCUUCCAACCAUAAUUCAGGUUUUUGGUCAGUUAGAAGCUAGGAGUAAACACCUAACAAUGGCAAGAAGGAUAAAAUAUCCUUUGUUACUACAGAGAAAUCCAACUAGACUUUUCUUUCUAACAAAUGCAGUAAGAUACUCAGAAUCUAACACACAAGAAACCUCAAGGUUUAGUUCAGAAGGAAUGGCAAUUUGAGCAUUAAGAAAAUAUGGGCCAAUACCACUUGCCCUAGUAGUCCUAUGGCAGAAGACAUCAGUCAUGAAAGAGCUCACUUUGCUACCUUCUUCUUAAAAGCACCAAACCCUUACAAACACUGAAUGCUACCCUAUGUUUAUGAUGACUUAAUAGUAUUAGAAAGGCAAAUAAUCUGAAAGAGAGAUGGAUGUAGCCAAAUAGACUGGAAAGUCAGCUUCCUGCAAAUAUCAUAUUAUUUGGAACAAGAAAAUGAAAAAAAAUAAUAAUAAAAGUCUGUGAUAUCCCUAUAACUUCCAAUAAUUUAGAAGAUGGUAAUUUAUUCAGGUUUCUUUUCUUGGGCUUACAUAUUUGGGGUAAUGUUGAUAAAUCUCUAACUAUUAAUUACAAAUUCAAAAUGAAUCUCACUUGGUUUUGCAGAAAUCUUUUUGAAUUUGCUUUCCAUUCUACAUCUGUUUUGUAUUUAUCUCAAUUUGAUUAAAAAGUAGCGUUUCAGAACUCAGAGUUUCUGUAAAGACUGUCAACAUUCAUCAGCUUGAGAAUAUAUUCCAUG
ensembl:lncRNA